CAGUAGCCGCGGGAAUACGUAGGUGGCAAGCGUUGUCCGGAAUUAUUGGGCGUAAAGCGCGCGCAGGCGGAUCAGUUAGUCUGUCUCAAAAGUUCGGGGCUCAACCCCGUGAUGGGAAAGAAACUACAUGCCUUGAGUACAGGAGAGGAAAGCGGAAUUCCCAGUGUAGCGGUGAAAUGCGUAGAUAUUGGGAGGAACACCAGUGGCGAAGGCGGCUUUCUGGACUGCAACUGACGCUGAGGCUCGAAAGCCAGGGGAGCGAACGGGAUUAGAUACCCCCGUAGUCCCUGUCUCUUAUACC
rnacentral:rRNA from 1 species